rnacentral:rRNA from 1 species
UACAGAGGGUGCGAGCGUUAAUCGGAUUUACUGGGCGUAAAGAGCGCGCAGGCGGUCGUUCAAGUCGAGUGUGAAAGCCCCCGGCUCAACUGGGGAGGGUCACUCGAUACUGAUCGACUCGAAGGCAGAAGAGGGAAGCGGAAUUCCCGGUGUAGUGGUGAAAUGCGUAGAUAUCGGGAGGAACACCAGUGGCGAAGGCGGCUUUCUGGUCUGCUCUUGACGCUGAGGCGCGAAAGCGUGGGGAGCAAACAGG